rnacentral:rRNA from 1 species
UGGGGAAUUUUGGACAAUGGGGGCAACCCUGAUCCAGCCAUGCCGCGUGCGGGAAGAAGGCCUUCGGGUUGUAAACCGCUUUUGGUCGGGAAGAAAAGGCAUCUCUUAAUACGGGGUGUUCUUGACGGUACCGGCAGAAUAAGCACCGGCUAACUACGUGCCAGCAGCCGCGGUAAUACGUAGGGUGCGAGCGUUAAUCGGAAUUACUGGGCGUAAAGCGUGCGCAGGCGGUUUGUUAAGUCUGAUGUGAAAGCCCCGGGCUCAACCUGGGAACGGCAUUGGAAACUGGCAAGCUGGAGUGUGGCAGAGGGGGGUGGAAUUCCGCGUGUAGCAGUGAAAUGCGUAGAGAUGCGGAGGAACACCGAUGGCGAAGGCAGCCCCCUGGGCCAACACUGACGCUCAGGCACGAAAGCGUGGGGAGCAAACA